rnacentral:rRNA from 1 species
AUUGAACGCUGGCGGCAGGCUUAACACAUGCAAGUCGAGCGGAGACUUCGGUCUUAGCGGCGAACGGGUGAGUAAUACCUAGGAAUCUGCCUAUUAGUGGGGGAUAACGAAUCGAAAGGUUCGCUAAUACCGCAUACGACCUACGGGUGAAAGUGGGGGACCUUCGGGCCUCACGCGAUGAGAUGAGCCGAUGCCGGAUUAGCUAGUUGGCGGGGUAAAGGCCCACCAAGGCGACGAUCCGUAGCUGGUCUGAGAGGAUGAUCAGCCACACUGGAACUGAGACACGGUCCAGACUCCUACGGGAGGCAGCAGUGGGGAAUAUUGGACAAUGGGGGCAACCCUGAUCCAGCCAUGCCGCGUGUGUGAAGAAGGCCUC